rnacentral:rRNA from 1 species
UACGGAGGGUGCAAGCGUUAUCCGGAUUCACGGGGUUUAAAGGGUGCGUAGGUUGAUUGGUAAGUCAGUGGUGAAAUACUCCGACUCAAUCGGAGAACUGCCGUUGAUACUAUCAAUCUUGAAUACGGUGGAGGCGGGCGGAAUGCGUCAUGUAGUGGUGAAAUACUUAGAUAUGACGCAGAACACCCAUUGCGAAGGCAGCUCGCUACACCGGCAUUGACACUGAGGCACGAAAGCGUGGGGAUCAAACAGG